AUCUGGGCGGCGGAAUUCAAGACGGCUGGCGGGUCUCGCGCUCGUUCGGCCGUUUGAUAUUUCCGUCGCCGUGUCAGACGUCGCGACCUGUUUGUCGUCGGUCCUUGCUCGGAGGAAUUGCGAUCGAGUUCGUUGCGGGCGCGUUUCGGCGUGCUUCGCGGCGAAGACGCGACUCUCUGGCCGACGACGGACAGUAAGCAACGGUGUCUGGCGCCGUGUCUCGCACUCGGCGUCGGUGCCGGUCAGCGACGAUUUCUUCGGGCCUCUUUCCGACCCGUCUUGAAACACGGACCAAGGAGUCUAACAUGCGCGCGAGUCGCGGGGUUUCGAGCGUACCACGGUGCGCUCGUUACUUCCGAAACCCGUACGUUGAAGGCGUAAUGAAAGUGAACAGGGAAGAUGGCGUUCCGAGACCACGUACCGUGAUCGAGUAUCGCGGCCGGACGUCCGCACUCCCGGGGCGUCUCAAUGGUUCGCCACGGAUGCGGACGAUCGUCUUUCGGGGCGGUGGUCGGUCUGUGGCGGUCCGA
rnacentral:rRNA from 1 species